rnacentral:rRNA from 1 species
CCUACGGGUCGCACCAGUGGGAAAUAUUGCACAAUGGGCGCAAGCCUGAUGCAGCCAUGCCGCGUGUAUGAAGAAGGCCUUCGGGUUGUACAGUACUUUCAGCGAGGAGGAAGGCAUUAAGGUUAAUAACCUUGGUGAUUGCCGUUACUCGCAGAAGAAGCACCGGCUAACUCCGUGCCAGCAGCCGCGGUAAUACGGAGGGUGCAAGCGUUAAUCGGAAUUACUGGGCGUAAAGCGCACGCAGGCGGUCUGUCUAGUCGGAUGUGAAAUCCCCGGGCUCAACCUGGGAACUGCAUUCGAAACUGGCAGGCUAGAGUCUUGUAGAGGGGGGUAGAAUUCCAGGUGUAGCGGUGAAAUGCGUAGAGAUCUGGAGGAAUACCGGUGGCGAAGGCGGCCCCCUGGACAAAGACUGACGCUCAGGUGCGAAAGCGUGGGGAGCAAACAGGAUUAGAUACCCCAGUAGUC